rnacentral:rRNA from 1 species
UACGGGGGGGUGCGAGCGUUGUCCGGAAUCACUGGGCGUAAAGGGCGCGUAGGUGGUUUGGUAGGUCCGUUGUGAAAACUCGAGGCUCAACCUCGAGACGCCGGCGGAAACCAUCAGGCUAGAGUCCGGAAGAGGAGAGUGGAAUUCCUGGUGUAGCGGUGAAAUGCGCAGAUAUCAGGAAGAACACCCGUGGCUAAGGCGGCUCUCUAGUACGGUACUGACGCUGAGACGCGAAAGCGUGGGGAGCGAACAGG